rnacentral:rRNA from 1 species
CCUACGGGAGGCAGCAGUGGGGAAUAUUGGACAAUGGGCGAAAGCCUGAUCCAGCAAUGCCGCGUGAGUGAUGAAGGCCUUAGGGUUGUAAAGCUCUUUUACCAGGGAUGAUAAUGACAGUACCUGGAGAAUAAGCUCCGGCUAACUCCGUGCCAGCAGCCGCGGUAAUACGGAGGGAGCUAGCGUUGUUCGGAAUUACUGGGCGUAAAGCGUACGUAGGCGGUUAUUCAAGUCAGAGGUGAAAGCCUGGAGCUCAACUCCAGAACUGCCUUUGAAACUAGAUAGCUAGAAUCUUGGAGAGGUGAGUGGAAUUCCGAGUGUAGAGGUGAAAUUCGUAGAUAUUCGGAAGAACACCAGUGGCGAAGGCGACUCACUGGACAAGUAUUGACGCUGAGGUACGAAAGCGUGGGGAGCAAACAGGAUUAGAUACCCUGGUAGUCCACGCCGUAAACGAUGAUAACUAGCUGUUCGGGCUCUACGAGCUUGAGUGGCGCAGCUACGCAUUAAGUUAUCCGUCCGUCGGGUAGGUACGGUCGCGAGAUUAAACUACGAAGAAGUUAGUACGGCGUGAGACGUGCCGACGGACGACGACGAGGGAGGUUAGG